GUCAUUCUCUCGACUGCUGCUGUGUGAGACGUGCCUUUCACCUCCUGCCAUGAUUCUAAGGACUCCCCGGCCACGUGGAACUGCUUCCAGGGCUGUGGGGCCAAAUGUGCCCUCUCCUGCCCUCAUGGCAGCCUCAGUUCCUGAGUUCUCAUCAUUUCUUCCUUGCUACAAUCAGAACUGAGUCUAGCACCCUUCAGGACAAAUCCAGAUCCCCAGGAGAGACAGCCUGAUGAGUUCAGCUUGGAAAGGGUCUGUUCCUGUCCUAUCAGCUGUGGCCAGCGUGCCAGGGUCACGUACCAGUGCGACUGCCACAGCACGGCCCAUCUGUCCAGGAGUAGUUCUCAGUCAACGGGCUCCAGCUGGGACUCAGGCUGAAUAGAUGCCCACAAGGAUGUCUGCUACCACAUGUAAAGUGCCCCAAAGCAGGACAAGUGCUCAGCAAGUGUGGCCCGUAUGAUUAAGGGAAUUCUGUGUCUGUCUGAGAAGAAAGUGGCGAUGAGCAAUAACAAGGCCUGUCGUCCAUCUGGAAGAACUCCAGCCACCCCCCAAACUUUCAGGUGCAUAGAACCACCUGGACAUAAGACACAAACAUUGUUACCCCAAAAAGGAAAAAAAUUAUUUGGACUAUAUUAAAAUAAAAUAUUUGUUUAUCAAAAUACAUCAUUAAGAGUAAAAAGGCAAGACAGCAAGUUGAAGAAGAUAUUUGCAAUACACAUAGCCAGGAAAGGACAAGAACCCAGAAUAUAUAAAGAACUCCUAUAAAUCAGUAAGAAAAAGACAAUCUGAUUAAAACAUUGGCAAAAGAUCUGAAGAGGCACUUCACAAAAGAGGAUGCCCAAAUGGCCAAUAAACAUAAGAAAAUGUGCUCAACAUCAUUAGUCAUCAGGGAAAUGCAAGUUGAAGCAUAAAAUGGUAUCACUCCACACCCACAAGCAUGGCUGGGAUGAAAAGAGAGAUGCGCCCAGUGCUGACGAGGAUGUGCAUCAACUGGAACUCUCAGACACUGCAGGUGGGUGUCUAAAUUGGUACAGCCACUUUGGAAAAUUGUUCAGCUGUAUUUGUUAAACCUGAACACAAGCAAAUCCUAUCUGUGAUGCCACAAUUCUGCUGAUCGACAUAUCUCCAUCAGAAAUGUAUACAAAUGUCCACAGAGAUACAUGUCAUCGAAUUUUCAUGGCAGCCCUCUUUUGAUAUCCCAAAGCUGGAAACAACCCAAUGCCCAUCAACAGCAGAAUGCAUACAAAUUGUGGUACAAUCAUAGGCUGGAAUGCUACUCAGCAUUGAGAAUAAACAAACCACAACUGCA